CCAGGUUCGAUUCCCAGCCAGGGUACAUUCCUGGGUUGCAGGCCAGGUCCCCAGUUCUGCGCAUGUGAGAAGCAACGGAUCGAUGUUCCUCUUGCAUGGUGAUGUUUCUCUCCCUCUCUUACUCCCUCCCUUCCCCUCUCUCUAAAACUAAAACAUAAAUAAAAUCUUUAAAA